AUAUUUAUCUGGCCAGGGAGAUACCAUGAUCAUGAAGGUGAUUUCUCCAGGGCAAGGCUCAUUCAUUGCAGUCUGGAUAUGCUGACUCCUGAGAUUUCCCCAAAAGUGGAAAACUCAACUGUAUAAUUUGUGGUAGUGAAGGACUGUGUUAACGCUCUACCCUGAA